AGAAAUCCCGCGAAGGCCGCCCGGGAUCCUGGUAGAGGCGACGCUGUGUGCGUUUAUGGAGCGCUUGCGAUGGACAGAAGUGAGGACAUUCAUCGGCCGCAUUUUACUAAUGGCAAGGAGAUAGCGACUGAAGGGCAAGAACCUAGGGUUUCCUGUCUUUGAUAUUUCUCAUCUUUGAGCAAAAGGAGAGAGGCCAUUAUGGGGAAAAAGAUCCAAAAGGACUCAUCUAAAACACAAGUUGGGUAGAGGAGAUAGGUGAGUACUAUUAUAUUAUGUUCAUGGAAAAUGAGUUCAUGGGCUUUCCUCUAAUUUUUAUUUUAAAAAUAAAUGUAAAUAUUAAAUAAAAUUUUUUAAAUGAA
rnacentral:lncRNA from 2 species